AAGGAACACCACUCGAGACCCCAA
rnacentral:siRNA from 1 species